CCCUCCAAGACUAAACGUGGAUCCUCAGGUUCAGUCUCUUUUACGACAAGAAUUCCACAGAGUAUCGGUGCAAUUGGGUGUCUCAUACAAAUCAGUUGCUGAGCUGUUUCCAAUGAGAAAACUGCACCUGUGGAGCAGAGAUGGGGUACACCUAAGUGACGAUGAUGGGAUGAAAAUCCUAAAUAAAGCAAUAUAUGAGGCCUCACAUGAGCAGAUUCACAAGCCAACUGCAGAGACGGAGGUGAUGCCCACCAUGUCAUGCUCUCCUCCAAAGAUGCUUGAGCAGGUUCCCAAGCCAACUGCU